CGACUUUCAGCAACGGAUAUCUUGGUUCCUGCAACGAUGAAGAACGCAGCGAAAUGCGAUACCUAGUGUGAAUUGCAGAAUUCCGCGAAUCAUCGAGUUUUUGAACGCAAGUUGCGCCCGAGGCUUUUCCCGAGGGCAUGGCUGCUUGAGGGUC
rnacentral:rRNA from 1 species